rnacentral:rRNA from 1 species
UACCAGCACCCCGAGUGGUCGGGACGUUAUUGGGCCUAAAGCAUCCGUAGCCGGUUCUACAAGUCUUCCGUUAAAUCCACCUGCUUAACAGAUGGGCUGCGGGGGAUACUACAGGGCUAGGAGGCGGGAGAGGCAAGCGGUACUUUAUGGGUAGGGGUAAAAUCCGUUGAUCCAUAGAAGACCACCAGUGGCGAAGGCGGCUUGCCAGAACGCGCUCGACGGUGAGGGAUGAAAGCUGGGGGAGCAAACCGGG